rnacentral:rRNA from 1 species
GACGAACGCUGGCGGCGGGCUUAACACAUGCAAGUCGAACGGAAAGGCCCUGCUUUUUUGGUGUGCUCGAUUGGCGAACGGGUGAGUAACGCGUGAGUAACCUGCCCUUGACUUUGGGAUAACUUCAGGAAACGGGGGCUAAUACCGUAUAGGAUCUCAUGCUGCAUGGUGGGCGUUGGAAAUUUUCGGCUGUUGGGGAUGGACUCGCGGCUUAUCAGCUUGUUGGUGGGGUAGUGGCUUACCAAGGCAUUGACGGGUAGCCGGCCUGAGAGGGUGACCGGCCACAUGGGUACUGAGAUACGGCCCAGACUGCUACGGGAGGCAGCAGUGGGGAAUAUGGCCCAAUGGGCGGAAGCGUGAUGAAGCAACGCCGCGUGCGGGAUGACGGCCUUCGGGUUGUGAACCGCUUUCGCCUGUGACGAAGCGUGAGUGACGGUAAUGGGUAAAGAAGCACCGGCUAACUACGUG